rnacentral:rRNA from 1 species
GACGAACGCUGGCGGCGUGCUUAACACAUGCAAGUCGAACGGAAAGGCCCUGCUUUUGUGGGGUGCUCGAGUGGCGAACGGGUGAGUAACACGUGAGUAACCUGCCCUUGACUUUGGGAUAACUUCAGGAAACUGGGGCUAAUACCGGAUAGGAGCUCCUGCUGCAUGGUGGGGGUUGGAAAGUUUCGGCGGUUGGGGAUGGACUCGCGGCUUAUCAGCUUGUUGGUGGGGUAGUGGCUUACCAAGGCUUUGACGGGUAGCCGGCCUGAGGGGGUGACCGGCCACAUUGGGACUGAGAUACGGCCCAGACUCCUACGGGAGGCAGCAGUGGGAAAUAUUGCACAAUGGGCGGAAGCCUGAUGCAGCAACGCCGCGUGCGGGAUGACGGCCUUCGGGUUGUAAACCGCUUUCGCCUGUGACGAAGCGUGAGUGACGGUAAUGGGUAAAGAAGCACCGGCUAACUACGUG